rnacentral:rRNA from 1 species
GGGUCAGCAGGUUGGUCGUGCCACCGGUACGUACUGGUCUCACUGAUUCCUCCUUCCUGAAGAACCGUAAUGCCGUUAAUUUGGUGUUGCGGGGAAACAGGACUGUUACUUUGAAAAAAUUAGAGUGUUUAAAGCAAGCUAACGCUUGAAUACAUUAGCAUGGAAUAAUGAAAUAGGACGAUCGAUCCUAUUUUGUUGGUUUCUAGGAUUGACGUA